AGCCUUUUCUUUAACCGCCAACGCCUUAUAUCAAGGGCUGCCGGCUCGUCCGGCUAUGGCGAUAAACUGCGGCGUGAAAUAGACGCAGCGGACCCGGGGGCAGUACCCGGCGGCUCCACCAAAACCGCUCGGCAGCGAGCGGGUUUGACGGGGCCGAACCAGGAUCGACGUGUGUUGAAAGGCGCUGUUUUCGCUCGGAAUGGGACCACCGCAACGGCCCAUCACACAAGUGCCAACGAUAACGAGGCGCUCGCGAUUGCGGCCUAACCCAAGACUUCACGGUCUAGGUUAGAUUGACAAAAGCGCGGUUGGGGCCGCACCGGGCAACAGAAGCGGAUUCCG
rnacentral:tmRNA from 1 species